UGCCUAACACAUGCAAGUCGCACGAGAAAGUCUUCGGAUGAGUAAAGUGGCGCAAGGGUGAGUAACACGUGAGCAACCUACCCCUAUGUUGGGGAUAACCAGCCGAAAGGUUGGCUAAUACCGAAUGGUGACGCGGGACUGCGGUCUUCGCGUUUAAAGAUGGCCUCUGCUUGCAAGCUAUCGCAAAGGGAUGGGCUCGCGCUGCAUUAGCUAGUUGGUGGGGUAACGGCUCACCAAGGCUACGAUGCAUAGCUGGUCUGAGAGGACGAUCAGUCACACUGGAACUGAGACACGGUCCAGACUCCUACGGGAGGCAGCAGUGAGGAAUAUUGCGCAAUGGGGGAAACCCUGACGCAGCGACGCCGCGUGGAGGAUGAAGGCCUUCGGGUUGUAAACUCC
rnacentral:rRNA from 1 species